UGGCCUAGCUAGUAACCCCAUCUCCAAGGCUGAACAUCGAUUUUCGAGUAGGGCCAAGCAAAGACGCAUGCAUGGAAAUCCACUUGAUGGAGUGCUGGCUGUUAUGAUUUUUCUUUCUCUCUCUCUCGUCAAAAUUGUUCCCCCAUCCUUGUUGCGGUUGUCAUAGCAACCCUGCUGUAUGACGGAGUUGGUGACAGAGAGGUGGAGAGGUGAGAUUUAUCUCAGAAAUGGGCUGCGGAGCCGCAACGGUGCUCCUCGCGUUCCUUGCACAAGGCAUGAAUGCGUUUAUUUAAAACAGGCCUGACAGAUGUCAUAUGCCUAUAUGUGGCCACGUCUUCACACAUCAUGGAUGGAUGGAACGCUUGAUGUACGGAGCAGCUUUUAUCCUUCUGAAAGUGCAUACAGAGGUCGACUGAUCCAGGGAUAGCAGAAUAAAGGCUUCUUACCAGUCUGUAUCCCACCUCGAAGCGAAUGCAAGGGUUGGGUUUUUGAGAACAUCAUUCUGAUCCCAGCAUGACAUGAGCAGGCCUGCUCUGUGCUAGACCAGCCUCAGAGAUGCAUCUGCCUAAAUUCAUCCAUCCCAGUGCCAGCAGCAAGACAGAGGCGACGCUGAGAGAUUCAGCACCCAAAGCGGCUUUCCCUGAACAUAAUACAAAACAAUGUGGACUCACAGGUGGAUGCGGUUUUCCAGUCCUCAGGAUCCAGGGCGUAAAAGUCUCGUGUUUGUACAACCUGUUGGAUAAGAGGACUACCGUGGUCUGAUCCCAGACUCCAUCGUAGUUUUACUGACGUGUCUCCA